rnacentral:rRNA from 1 species
CUACCUAUAAGACUGGGAUAACUUCGGGAAACCGGAGCUAAUACCGGAUAAUAUAUUGAACCGCAUGGUUCAAUAGUGAAAGACGGUUUUGCUGUCACUUAUAGAUGGAUCCGCGCCGCAUUAGCUAGUUGGUAAGGUAACGGCUUACCAAGGCAACGAUGCGUAGCCGCCUGAGAGGGUGAUCGGCCACACUGGAACUGAGACACGGUCCAG